rnacentral:rRNA from 5 species
CAUUAAGACUCUCGGCAACGGAUAUCUCGGCUCUUACAUCGAUGAAGAACGUAGCGAAAUGCGAUACUUGGUGUGAAUUGCAGAAUCCCGUGAACCAUCGAGUCUUUGAACGCAAGUUGCGCCCGAGGCCUUCGGGUCGAGGGCACGCCUGCCUGGGCGUCACGC